GGCCCAGUAGCGGAGUGGUUGGCAUCCGCUGUCUUUAAGCCAAACUCUGAGCUUCUGCGGAAGGCACCCGUUCGAUUCGGGUCUGGGUCU